rnacentral:rRNA from 1 species
GUUGUUGGUGAAGAAGGAUAGAGGUAGUAACUGGCCUUUAUUUGACGGUAAUCAACCAGAAAGUCACGGCUAACUACGUGCCAGCAGCCGCGGUAAUACGUAGGUGGUAAGCGUUGUCCGGAUUUAUUGGGCGUAAAGCGAGCGCAGGCGGAAGAAUAAGUCUGAUGUGAAAGCCCUCGGCUUAACCGAGGAAUUGCAUCGGAAACUGUCUUUCCUGAGUGCAGAAGAGGAGAGUGGAACUCCAUGUGUAGCGGUGGAAUGCGUAGAUAUAUGGAAGAACACCAGUGGCGAAGGCGGCUCUCUGGUCUAUUACUGACGCUGAGGUGCGAAAGCGUGGGGAUCAAACAGGAUUAGAUACCCUGGUAGUCCACGCCGUAAACGAUGAGUGCUAAGUGUUCGGGGGUUUCCNCCCGUCAGUGCUGCAACUACGCAUUAGCACUCCGGCUGGGGAGUACGACCGCAAGGUUGAAACCUCGAAACGGUAAUUCGGACGGGGACCCGCACGAACGCGGUGGAGCUAUGGUAGUUUUAAACG